UGGGGAAUCUUCCGCAAUGGACGAAAGUCUGACGGAGCAACGCCGCGUGAGUGAAGACGGCCUUCGGGUUGUAAAGCUCUGUGAUCCGGGACGAAAGAGCCUGAGGUAAAUAGCCUAAGGAAGUGACGGUACCGGAAAAGCAAGCCACGGCUAACUACGUGCCAGCAGCCGCGGUAAUACGUAGGUGGCAAGCGUUGUCCGGAAUUAUUGGGCGUAAAGCGCGCGCAGGCGGCUUACUAAGUCCAUCUUAAAAGUGCGGGGCUUAACCCCGUGGUGGGAUGGAAACUGGAAAGCUGGAGUAUCGGAGAGGAAAGUGGAAUUCCUAGUGUAGCGGUGAAAUGCGUAGAGAUUAGGAAGAACACCGGUGGCGAAGGCGACUUUCUGGGCGAAAACUGACGCUGAGGCGCGAAAGCGUGGGGAGCAAACAGG
rnacentral:rRNA from 1 species